UGAGGAUACCAUCUCCAAGCAGGUGGAGUAUUUGAUCCCUUUAGCAAGGCAGUGAUUUUGAAAUUCGGGUUUAGACAAAAAGAUAUUUCAAGCUCCUGAAGAACAAGUUUGAAGGAUUCAGAGCAGAGAAUUGCACCCUGGCAUGAUGCCUAUGCCAGCUGGACUGUGUGAUUUUUGUUCUUUAGUAGAAGGAUAACAUGACAUAGCAGGAAUAAUACUGCCUUUUCUUUCUGGCGUGGAUCAAGAGAAAAGAAAAUACAAGAAAACAGACAGAAGCAAGGCAAGGUACUUCUAUAGAAGCGUGAGCCCUCACAGAUGGAGCAAUGGUGCGCGCACACCUGAACAAGGGAGGGGAAGGAGUUCUUAUCCCUGAUGCAUGUGGCCCCUGCUGCUGUGGCCUUCCCCUAUUGGCUAAGGUUAGACCACACAGGCUAAACUAAUUCCGAUUGGCUAAUUUAAAGAGAGCGACAGGGCUUCUGAUAGCUUUGGAGAUUGUGACAUUGGAAUAAAGGAAAAACCUACAGGACUCAUGAAGAGCUGAAAUGUUCACAAAUAUCAAGCAAAAGUCAAUGAAAUUUAUUUUGAGCUAUUUACAGCGUUUAAUAAUUGAGCAAGGUAUACUCCUAUGAACAAAAUUUGGAGCAUGUUUGUCUCUCUCUCUCUCUGCCUGGCGUCUUCAGAAUUUGGAAACUAGUUAUGGUUUAUAAUCAGCUAUAGAAUUUUAACACGUGCUCUCAAAUGCAAGUUUCUGAUAACUUUGGAGAUUGUGACAUUGGAAUAAAGGAAGAGCUGGAAUGUUCACGAAUAUCAAGCAAAGUAAGAGUUAACUAAACACACUAAACUAAUAUAAAACUGAAGUAAUCUUUUUGACACUUGCUUGGAACAUUGCCGAUCUUUGUUUUCUUUUUCAUAGUCAUGGAAAUUUAUUUUGAGCUAUUUACAGCAUUUAAUAAUUGAGCAAGGUAUACUCCUAUGAACAAAAUUUGGAGCAUGUUUGUCUCUCUCUGUCUGCCUGGCAUCUACAGAAUUUGGAAACUAGUUGAUGCAAUUGGAGAAACUGGUUGUUUUACCAAGGCUUUGACUGGAAGGAUAUGCUUCCCUUUAAGGAACCAAGCUCAACUUACAGAGCUGAUAAAACCCCUUUGGGAAAACUGGCCUCAUACCUUGUCUACACAGUCCCCAUGCAGGGUUCCUAACCUGUGUCUUUCCCAGAUUUCCUAAACUUUCCAGAGAAAAUGGUCUUCUCCCUGGCUCAGCAAGAAGAUGAACUUUAAACACUGAGAAACUGGUCAUCUCCCUGGCUCAACCAGAAGAUGAACUUUAAACACUACUCUCAAUGACUUGAUGUUCCCAUCACUACUCCUGUCAUAAAGGGAGUGGACUCAGAUAUUGAGAAUUUUAUGAUAGUGUGAACUGUCUGCUGUCAGCCAGGAGGGCAGAGCUGAAAUUUAUUGCCACAUCACAUGAAGCCACAUCACAUGAAGCAUAGAACAGACUCCGCUACUCCUUGAGAUUCAAAACUUUGCCUCUCACAAAGUUACCUUUUAUUUUCCUCUUGUUUGUCACUCUUCUCCCCUACUGUGCUCUUUUUAUUUCUUUUACUAUUAAUAAUAAAAUCUGUGGAUGACUGUAUUAUUGAAUGCUUACCUUAGUACAAUAAUUCAAGAAGUAUUUGAAUAUUGCAUCAUUGGCUUUAGAAAACAAAUAUUUAUAGGCCAUUUCAACUUCAUAUAUAUAUAUAUAUAUUUAAUUUUCACUAAUUGAACGUACCCACAAAACUAGCAUCCAAAUCAAGAAUGCAAAUACUGCCAACAUUCCAGAAGUUUCUAUAAUACUUCAUUCAGAUCACUACCUGCCUGCUCAAAAGAUAACCAUUACAGCCAGGCGUGGUGGCUCACACCUGUAAUCCCAGCACUUUGGGAGGCCGAGGCAGGUGGAUCACCUGAAAUCAGGAGUUUGAGACCAGCCUGGCCAACAUGAUGAAACCCCAUCUCUACUAAACAUGGAAAAAAAAAAUUUAGCCGGGCAUGGUGGUGCACGCCUGUAAUCCCAGCUACUCUGGAGGCUGAGGUGGGAGAACUGCUUGAACCUGGGAGGCAGAGGCUGUAGUGAGCCGAGAUUGUGCCACUGCACUCCAGCCUAGGCGACACAGCAAGACCUGGUUUCAAAAAAAACAAACAAACAAACAAAAAAAACUAUUACUCUGAAUUUUUGCCUUUUUUACCUUCUGUAGUUUAUUUUUUUCUUAGCCCUGAUUCAAUUAUAUCAGGCAUUGUUAAAAUUGAAUUAAAAUCUGAACACAGUGAAAUGUACAAAUAUUAAGUAUACAAUUUGAUGAGCUUUACAAAUGUACACACCUCCAUACAUAUCUCAAUAGCGAUAGAGUCAUCCAAGAAAAUUUCCUUGUGCUUUCUUAUUAUAGCCAGUCCAUACACACCACAGACAAAAACGUUUCCUGAUUUCCAUUACCUUAAAUUUAUUUUGCCCAAUUUUAGCCUGUCACAUAAAUGAAAUCAUGUAGCAUGCGUAUUCUGGGGGAGUCUGACUUCUUUCGCAAUCAAGAUGUCAUUUCAAAAUUUCAUCCAUGUUUCCUCAUAACUCGGAGGCACCAGGUAGCUAAUUGGGAACGAUGGUUUGUAGAGUUCCUAGAAUAACAAAGCUGAACACAGAAAGCUGAGUUUGAAGCAGAGACACAAUAGCUUAAGAACUGGCACAAGCCAAGAGGUAAAUAUAAAGGUUAUUAUAAUAAUUGGUGACUUCAAAAUAGCUGUGGUAGCCUCAGACCAGAAGCUAGCUCAAACAAACAAACAAACAAACAAACAAACCAAACACCAGCAUAGAAACACUGAGAUAACUGACAUCAGAAUUUGGAAGUUGGAAGAUAUUUCCACUAACUAUAAGGUUAAUGGAACUAGGUUGGGAAAAGUAAUUACGCACUUGGAAAUAGUUUACUUAUGUAGUGGAGCAGAGUCCACAACAAAAGACAGAAAUAAAUUUCAUUUAAAGUCUGACCCAGAGAACCCAGGUUUCUACUAACUGGAAAACCAGAUAGUUACCAUUAUGAUGGACAGUUGAUACGUUCUGAGGAGGUUUUUGUACCCUUGCCCAUAGUUUUACAGCCAUUUGGGGAUUUCAAUUCUAAGAAAUCAAUGCUGCAGAGAGUCAGAAAGACUGAAAAUGGUGUAGCAGUAUAGAGUAUUGCAACCUGUAAGCAAUUUUAUAAAAAAAAAUCACUUUCAGCAGGGUGGAUAUGAGAAUAUUCUUGGAAAUAGUGAAUUCUCAACAUCAUGUUGUUCUUUAUUUUAAAUUAUCAGAAAACUAAGCAGUAAUCUUAUUUGAGGCUGCAUACAAGAAACCUGUGUUCUAUGAAUGCAAUUGUCUUAUGAGAAUAGAACAGAAUACCGUACUCUAAAGAUAAACUUGUCAAAUGUAGAUAUAGGCAA